UACGAAGGGGGCUAGCGUUACUCGGAUUGACUGGGCGUAAAGGGCGCGUAGGCGGCUUGUACAGUCAGACGUGAAAUUCCUGGGCUCAACCUGGGGGCUGCGUUUGAUACGUGCGGGCUUGAGUUCGGAAGAGGGUCGUGGAAUUCCCAGUGUAGAGGUGAAAUUCGUAGAUAUUAGGAAGAACACCAGUGGCGAAGGCGGCUCACUGGUCCGGUACUGACGCUGAGGUGCGAAAGCGUGGGGAGCAAACAGG
rnacentral:rRNA from 1 species